rnacentral:tRNA from 2 species
GUGGGCGUAGCUCAGUUGGUAGAGUGCAAGAUUGUGAUUCUUGUUGUCGUGGGUUCGAUCCCCAUCGUCCACCCCA